rnacentral:rRNA from 1 species
GACGGGACCCGCACAAGCGGUGGAUGAUGUGGAUUAAUUCGAUGCAACGCGAAAACCUUACCUACCCUUGACAUGUCCGGAAUCCGAAGAGAUUUGGGAGUGCUCGCAAGAGAACCGGAACACAGGUGCUGCAUGGCUGUCGUCAGCUCGUGUCGUGAGAUGUUGGGUUAAGUCCCGCAACGAGCGCAACCCUUGUCAUUAGUUGCCAUCAUUUGGUUGGGCACUCUAAUGAGACUGCCGGUGACAAACCGGAGGAAGGUGGGGAUGACGUCAAGUCCUCAUGGCCCUUAUGGGUAGGGCUUCACACGUCAUACAAUGGUCGGUACAGAGGGUUGCCAACCCGCGAGGGGGAGCUAAUCCCACAAAGCCGAUCGUAGUCCGGAUCGCAGUCUGCAACUCGACUGCGUGAAGUUGGAAUCGCUAGUAAUCGUGGAUCAGCAUGUCACGGUGAAUACGUUCCCGGGUCUU